AUGUGCUGAGAUGAUGAAAGCUAUGUUGGUAGGGACAUCUGAGAAUAGUGAUGAAUACCAACGUCUCUGAGCGGCACCU